AUUGAACGCUGGCGGCAGGCCUAACACAUGCAAGUCGAGCGAGCGGCGGACGGGUGAGUAUUGUCUGGGAAACUGUGUGAGGGAGGGGGGUAACUACUGGAAACGGUGGAUAAUACCGCAUACCACAAGAUAUGCCCCGAUGGGAUUAGCUAGUAGGGGGGGUAAUGGCUCACCUAGGCGACGAUCCCUAGCUGGUCUGAGAGGAUGACCAGCCACACUGGAACUGAGACACGGUCCAGACUCCUACGGGAGGCAGCAGUGGGGAAUAUUGCACAAUGGGCGCAAGCCUGAUGCAGCCAUGCCGCGUGUAUGAAGAAGGCCUUCGGGUUGUAAAGUACUUUCAGCGAGGAGGCGUUACUCGCAGAAGAAGCACCGGCUAACGCCGUGCCAGCAGCCGCGGUAAUUC
rnacentral:rRNA from 1 species